GACGAACGCUGGCGGCGUGCCUAAUACAUGCAAGUCGAACGAACCGCGACUAGGUGCUUGCACUUGGUCAAGGUGAGUGGCGAACGGGUGAGUAACACGUGGGUAACCUACCUCAUAGUGGGGGAUAACAGUCGGAAACGACUGCUAAUACCGCAUAGGACAUAGGAUCACAUGAUUCUGUGAGGAAAGGUGGCGCAAGCUAUCGCUAAGAGAUGGACCCGCUGUGCAUUAGCUAGUUGGUAGGGUAAAGGCCUACCAAGGCGAUGAUGCAUAGCCGACCUGAGAGGGUGAUCGGCCACAUUGGGACUGAGACACGGCCCAAACUCCUACGGGAGGCAGCAGUAGGGAAUCUUCCGCAAUGGACGCAAGUCUGACGGAGCAACGCCGCGUGAGUGAAGAAGGUCUUCGGAUCGUAAAGCUCUGUUGUUAGAGAAGAACAGCGCAUAGAGUAACUGUUAUGCGUGUGACGGUAUCUAACCAGAAAGCCACGGCUAACUACGUG
rnacentral:rRNA from 1 species